rnacentral:piRNA from 1 species
UAAUGAUUAACGAUAAUGAGGCGAAUUU